rfam:Aureobasidium pullulans var. pullulans EXF-150 unplaced genomic scaffold scaffold_5, whole genome shotgun sequence.
GGUUCUGUGGUGUAGUUGGUUAUCACUUCUGUCUAACACACAGGCGGUCCCCGGUUCGAACCCGGGCGGAAUCA